UACAGAGGUCCCAAGCGUUGUUCGGAUUCAUUGGGCGUAAAGGGUGCGUAGGCGGCGCGGGAAGUCGGGUGUGAAAUCUCGGAGCUUAACUCCGAAACUGCAUUCGAUACUGCCGUGCUUGAGGACUGGAGAGGAGACUGGAAUUUACGGUGUAAGCGGUGAAAUGCGCAGAUAUCAGGAGGAACACCGGUGGCGAAGGCGGGUCUCUGGGCCGAUGACUGACGCUGAGGAGCGAAAGCGUGGGGAGCGAACAGG
rnacentral:rRNA from 1 species